UAGGUAAUGUGUGUGUAUGUUAUGUGUGUGUAUAUGUGUGUGUGUGUGUGUGUGUAUACAUACACACACACACACACACACACACACACACACACCUACCUGUAAUUGUUUUUGUACCUAUUUGUAUAUAUAU